rnacentral:rRNA from 1 species
AGAGUUUUCGAUCCUCGGCUACAGAACGAACGCUGGCGGCGAUGCCUAACACAUGCAAGUCGAACGAGAUCCUUCGGGGUCUAGUGGCGCACGGGUGCGUAACGCUGGGAAUCUGCCCUUAGGUUCGGAAUAACAGUUAGAAAUGACUGCUAAUACCGGAUGAUGACGUUAAGUCCAAAGAUUUAUCGCCUGAGGAUGAGCCCGCGUAGGAUUAGCUAGUUGGUGUGGUAAAGGCGCACCAAGGCGACGAUCCUUAGCUGGUCUGAGAGGAUGAUCAGCCACACUGGGACUGAGACACGGCCCAGACUCCUACGGGAGGCAGCAGUGGGGAAUAUUGGACAAUGGGCGCAAGCCUGAUCCAGCAAUGCCGCGUGAGUAAUGAAGGCCUUAGGGUUGUAAAGCUCUUUUACCCGGGAUGAUAAUGACAGUACCGGGAGAAUAAGCCCCGGCUAACUCCGUG